rnacentral:rRNA from 1 species
GGUAAUACGGAGGGUGCAAGCGUUAUCCGGAUUUAUUGGGUUUAAAGGGUCCGUAGGUGGGCUGAUAAGUCAGCGGUGAAAUCCUGCAGCUUAACUGUAGAACUGCCGUUGAUACUGUUAGUCUUGAGUGUAUUUGAAGUGGCUGGAAUAAGUAGUGUAGCGGUGAAAUGCAUAGAUAUUACUUAGAACACCAAUUGCGAAGGCAGGUCACUAAGAUACAACUGACGCUGAGGGACGAAAGCGUGGGGAUCGAACGGGAUUAGAUACCCCGGUAGUCCACGCCGUAAACGAUGGGCACUGGCUGUCGGCGGGCUACCGUCGGCGGCUGCGCGAAAGCGUUAAGUGCCCCACCUGGGGAGUACGGCCGCAAGGCUGAAACUCAAAGGAAUUGACGGGGGCCCGCACAAGCGGAGGAACAUGUGGUUUAAUUCGAUGAUACGCGAGGAACCUUACCUGGGCUCGAACGCCGGGCGC